GGACGCAUAGCUCAGCUGGAUAGAGCGUCGGCCUCCGGAGCCGAAGGUCGAAGGUUCGAAUCCUUCUGCGUUCGCUA
rnacentral:tRNA from 1 species